rnacentral:rRNA from 1 species
UACGAAGGGGGCUAGCGUUGCUCGGAAUCACUGGGCGUAAAGCGCACGUAGGCGGAUUGCUAAGUCAGGGGUGAAAUCCUGGAGCUCAACUCCAGAACUGCCCUCGAUACUGGCGAUCUUGAGUCCGGAAGAGGUGAGUGGAACUCCUAGUGUAGAGGUGGAAUUCGUAGAUAUUGGGAAGAACACCGGUGGCGAAGGCGGCGACCUGGUCCGAUACUGACGCUGAGGCGCGAAAGCGUGGGGAGCAAACAGG